rnacentral:rRNA from 1 species
AGAGUUUGAUCAUGGCUCAGGACGAACGCUGGCGGCGUGCCUAACACAUGCAAGUCAAGGGGAAAGUUCGACUUCGGUUGGAUGAGUAUACUGGCGGACGGGUGAGUAACGCGUAGGCAACCUGCCCCGGGGAGAGGGAUAACCCAGCGAAAGUUGGACUAAUACCUCAUAAUGCAGCGGAUCCGCAUGGAUAUGUUGUUAAAGGUUGCAUUUCGGUGCAAUCACCUUGGGAUGGGCCUGCGUUCCAUUAGUUAGUUGGUGAGGUAACGGCUCACCAAGGCGACGAUGGAUAGCUGGUUUGAGAGAGUGAUCAGCCACACUGGGACUGAGACACGGCCCAGACUCCUACGGGAGGCAGCAGUCGGGAAUUUUGCGCAAUGGACGAAAGUCUGACGCAGCAACGCCGCGUGAGGGAUGACGGCCUUCGGGUUGUAAACCUCUUUUCUCAGGGAAGAUAAUGACGGUACCUGAGGAAUAAGCCACGGCUAACUACGUGCCAGCAGCCGCGGUAAUACGUAGGUGGCAAGCGUUGUCCGGAUUUACUGGGCGUAAAGAGCGCGCAGGCGGUCGAGUAAGUCGCGUGUGAAAGCCCCCGGCUCAACUGGGGAGGGUCACGCGAUACUGUUCGACUCGAAGGCAGGAGAGGGUAGUGGAAUUCCCGGUGUAGUGGUGAAAUGCGUAGAUAUCGGGAGGAACACCAGUGGCGAAGGCGACUACCUGGCCUGUUCUUGACGCUGAGGCGCGAAAGCUAGGGGAGCAAACGGGAUUAGAUACCCCGGUAGUCCUAGCCGUAAACGAUGGACACUAGGUGUUGGUGGUAUCAACCCCGCCAGUGCCGAAGCUAACGCAUUAAGUGUCCCGCCUGGGGAGUACGGCCGCAAGGCUAAAACUCAAAGGAAUUGACGG